rnacentral:rRNA from 1 species
AGAUAAUAGAUACCCAGGUAGUCCACGCCGUAAACGAUGAGUGCUAGGUGUCACGGGCUUUGACCCUCGUGGUGCCGAAAGCUAACGCGUUAAGCACUCCGCCUGGGGAGUACGGUCGCAAGACUAAAACUCAAAGAAAUUGACGGGGGCCCGCACAAGCGGUGGAGCGUGUUGUUAAAUUCGACGCAACGCGAAGAACCUUACCUGGGCUAGAAAGUACUGGAAGUCGGUCGAAAGGUCGAUGUGUCCUGGAACCAGUGUUAGGUGCUGCAUGGCUGUCGUCAGCUCGUGUCGUGAGAU